AUGACGUCAAGUCAGCAUGGCCUUUAUGUCCUGGGCUACACACACGCUACAAUGGCCGGUACAAUAGGUUGCGAAGCCGCGAGGCGGAGCCAAUCCUCAAAGCCGGCCUCAGUUCAGAUUGCAGGCUGCAACCCGCCUGCAUGAAGAUGGAGUUGCUAGUAACCGCAGGUCAGCUAUACUGCGGUGAAUACGUUCCCGGGGCUU
rnacentral:rRNA from 1 species